rnacentral:rRNA from 1 species
ACGUAAUAGAUACCCGGUAGUCCACGCCCUAAACGAUGUCUACUAGUUGUUGGUGGAGUAAAAUCCAUGAGUAAACGCAGCUAAACGCGUGAAGUAGACCGCCUGGGGAGUACGGUCGCAAGAUUAAAACUCAAAUGAAUUGACGGGGGCCCGCACAAGCGGUGGAUUAUGUGGAUUAAAUUCGAUGCAACGCGAAAAACCUUACCUGGCCUUGACAUGUAACGAACUUUCCAGAGAUGGAUUGGUGCUCGAAAGAGAACGUUAACACAGGUGCUGCAUGGCUGUCGUCAGCUCGUGUCGUGAGAUGUUGGGUUAAGUCCCGCAACGAGCGCAACCCUUGCCAUUAAUUGCCAUCAUUUAGUUGGGCACUUUAAUGGGACUGCCGGUGACAAACCGGAGGAAGGUGGGGAUGACGUCAAGUCCUCAUGGCCCUUAUGGCCAGGGCUUCACACGUAAUACAAUGGUCGGUACAGAGAGUUGCCAACCCGCGAGGGGAGCCAAUCUCAGAAAGCCGAUCGUAGUCCGGAUUGUAGU